AUGGCGAGUGGAAAUUCAGCAACCUCGGAUGUUGGCGGUGGGGCUGGCAAGAGUCGAGUUGUUCUUGGCGAUGGCUCGCAGGGCGUGUUAGGGGAAGGAAGGAAGGAGGAAGAGGAUAGGUCUUCAGCUCAGGUUGGUGUUACAACUCAAGCCGGGGACCUGGGGGGAAAGUUCAAAUACCUAAACAUUCGCGAGGAUGAAGAGGAGGACGUCGUUCUAGAGGAAGAUCUCGAAGAGCUGGAGAAGGACGCGGAAUUUAUGGCACUGGCCAGGAUUCAUACCAAAUGUAUCUUCAGCCAUGGUGCCUUCUUUGGUGCCAUGCGAUCUGCGUGGAACCUUGCACAAGAAGUGAAAUUUAGGGCUAUCAAAGACAACCUUUUCUCGGCGCAACUGAAUUAUUUCGCAGACAGCGAGCGUGUGAUGCGCGAUAGUCCGUGGUUAUUUUGUAAUUGUCCAGUGUUGUUGGCUAGUUAUGAUGGUUGGUCUGAACCGGAAAACACGGAUUUGUUCACAUAUCGGGCAUGGGUAAGAGUCAUGGAUUAA
rnacentral:rRNA from 1 species